GUGCUUGGUUUUCAGCACAUAUUUUAAAUUGGGAUGAUGUAGGGAAGAUCAGUAUAACCCCUGCAAGGACAACAUGCAAAUCCACAAAAUGCUGCAUAUUUUA